ensembl:lncRNA
UAAGCAUAUGCUAUAACAUUGCAUGUUCUCUGUGUGAGUUUGUCUUGUUGUGGAUCUGUUUUCCAUCCCCAAGAGCAACAUACCUAUCCUGUCUUUAUAGCCUGUUCCCAGAUCUGUUUGUGCUCUUGCGAAGUCCAUUGCUGUCAUUGUCAAGCCAAGUUAAGGCAUGACAAUUUCACAGAGUUGUUAAGAGAGCAGAAACAGGCUAGCACUCAGGCUACUGUCUUUACUGUAUGUUUUCCAUCCUUUGGCACCCUGGGACACCUAACCUGUCAUUGGGUUCUUCUUCUGCACAAACACCAGAUGAAGAGGCUGGAGGACUGAGUGGCUGAAGCUGAGGAACUUGCAGCAUCUCCACACUGUCAGUCACUAUGGCUCAAGACAACAUUUAAAGAGCCCAUUGGAUGAGACAGCAGAUCCCAGUGUGCGCAGGGCCAUGCAGAGAUCCAUCAUGCAGUUCUCCACUGUGGACUAGAAGACCAUUUCCACCGCCAAACAGAGAAAGCUAGGGGAAUGGAACCAGCCAGGGUCCAACAUCCUCACUGUCAUGUUCAGCUAACUGCUCCAGCAACACGAGGGGUGAAUCUCAAUUGUAUUUAACAGAUUCUUCAUGUCCUCUCCUCUAAUGCAUUUUGAGAAGAAGC